UACGUAGGCAGCGAGCGUUGUUCGGAGUUACUGGGCGUAAAGAGUGUGUAGGCGGUGUUCCCAGUCUGUUGUGAAAUCUCCCGGCUUAACUGGGAGGGUGCAGCGGAAACUAGAAUGCUAGAGGGUGGGAGAGGUAAGCGGAAUUCCUGGUGUAGCGGUGAAAUGCGUAGAUAUCAGGAGGAACACCUGUGGUGUAGACAGCUUACUGGACCACUUCUGACGCUGAGACACGAAAGCGUGGGUAGCAAACAGG
rnacentral:rRNA from 1 species